UACGAAGGACCCGAGCGUUAUCCGGAUUUAUUGGGUUUAAAGGGUGCGUAGGCGGCAGAUUAAGUCAGCGGUGAAAUUCCACAGCUCAACUGUGGAACUGCCAUUGAUACUGGUUUGCUUGAGUACAGAUGAGGUAGGCGGAAUUGACAGUGUAGCGGUGAAAUGCUUAGAUAUUGUCAAGAACACCUAUUGCGAAGGCAGCUUACUAAGCUGUAACUGACGCUGAGGCACGAAAGCGUGGGGAUCAAACAGG
rnacentral:rRNA from 1 species